rnacentral:rRNA from 1 species
AAUGAAGGCCGUAAGGUUGUAAACUUCUGUUAGAGGGGACGGAAUAGCUUCGAUCAAAUACGAAGUUUGACGGUACCCUCAGAGAAAGCCCCGGCUAACUACGUGC